rnacentral:rRNA from 1 species
CCUACGGGAGGCAGCAGUGAGGAAUAUUGGUCAAUGGGCGCGAGCCUGAACCAGCCAAGUAGCGUGAAGGAUGAAUGCCCUACGGGUUGUAAACUUCUUUUAUAAAGGAAUAAAGUUAAACACGUGUGCCUUUUUUUAUGUACUUUAUGAAUAAGGAUCGGAUAACUCCGUGCCGUCAGCCGUGGUAAUACGGAGGAUCCGAGCGUUAUCCGGAUUUAUUGGGGUGAAAGGGAGCGUAGAGGGGUUGUUAAGUCCGUUGUGAAAGUUUGCGGCCUAACCGUAAAAUUGGAAUUGAUACUGGCAGAGCUGAGUACAGUUGAGGGAGGUAGAAUUCGUGGUGUAGCGGUGAAAUGCUUAGAGAUCACGAAGAACUCCGAUUGCGAAGGCAGCCCCCUAAACUGCCACUGACAUUGAUGUUCGAAAGUGUGGGUAUCAAACAGGAUUAGAUACCCGGGUAGUC